rnacentral:rRNA from 1 species
GACGAACGCUGGCGGCGUGCCUAUUACAUGCAAGUCGAGCGGACCAAAGGGAGCUUGCUCCUGGAGGUCAGCGGCGAACGGGUGAGUAACACGUGGGCAACCUGCCUGUAAGACUGGGAUAACAUCGAGAAAUCGGUGCUAAUACCGGAUAAUAAAAAGAACUGCAUGGUUCUUUUUGUAAAGAUGGUUUCGGCUAUCACUUACAGAUGGGCCGCGGCGCAUUAGCUAGUUGGUGAGGUAACGGCUCACCAAGGCAACGAUGCGUAGCCGACCUGAGAGGUGAUCGGCCACACUGGGACUGAGACACGGCCCAGACUCCUACGGGAGGCAGCAGUAGGGAAUCUUCCGCAAUGGACGAAAGUCUGACGGAGCAACGCCGCGUGAGUGAUGAAGGUUUUCGGAUCGUAAAACUCUGUUGUUAGGGAAGAACAAGUGCCGUUCGAAAGGGCGGCACCUUGACGGUACCUAACGAGAAAGCCACGGCUAACUACGUGCCAGCAGCCGCGGUAAAG